rnacentral:misc_RNA from 1 species
GUAAAAGUCGUAACAAGGUUUCCGUAGGUGAACCUGCGGAAGGAUCAUUAGCGAGAGGAGGGGGCCCCGCGCCCCCCGGCUCUUCCCCCCGUGCCUACCUACCUUCGUUGCUUUGGCGGGCCCCGGGGUUCGCCCCGCGCCGGUCUCGAGCGAAACAGCGCCCGUUGGAAGGAGCGAGCGGCCGCCAGAAAGCCCUUAGCAAACUCCGCAUGAAGCGAUAACGUCCGAGGCGAGAUUGUACAGAAUUGUGAAAAAAAAAACUUUCAACAACGGAUCUCUUGGUUCUGGCAUCGAUGAAGAACGCAGCGAAAUGCGAAAAGUAAUGUGAAUUGCAGAAUUCAGUGAAUCAUCGAAUCUUUGAACGCACAUUGCGCCCCUUGGUAUUCCGGGGGGCAUGCCUGUUCGAGCGUCAUUGCACCCCUCAAGCGUAGCUUGGUAUUGGGUCGUUCGCCCCCGGGGCGUGCCCGAAAGCGAGUGGCGGUCCCGCGCGACUUCGAGCGUAGUAAACAACCUUCCCGCUCCGAGGGUCUCGCGGCGCGACCAGCUGGAAUACACGAACCCCUUGACGAUUGACCUCGGAUCAGGCAGGGAUACCCGCUGAACUUAAGCAUAUCAAUAAGCGGAGGAAAAGAAACCAAACAGGGAUUGCCUCGGUAACGGCGAGUGAA